UACGUAGGGGGCUAGCGUUGUCCGGAAUCAUUGGGCGUAAAGAGCGCGUAGGCGGCCAGAUAAGUCCGGUGUGAAAGUCACAGGCUCAACCUGUGAAUGCCGCUGGAAACUGUCUGGCUAGAGUCCGGAAGGGGCGAGUGGAAUUCCUGGUGUAGCGGUGAAAUGCGCAGAUAUCAGGAGGAACACCGAGGGCGAAGGCAGUGGUCUGGGCCGAUACUGACGCUGAGGAGCGAAAGCGUGGGGAGCGAACAGG
rnacentral:rRNA from 1 species